rnacentral:rRNA from 1 species
AUUGAACGCUGGCGGCAUGCCUUACACAUGCAAGUCGAACGGCAGCACGGGUGCUUGCACCUGGUGGCGAGUGGCGAACGGGUGAGUAAUACAUCGGAACGUACCUUAUCGUGGGGGAUAACGCAGCGAAAGCUGUGCUAAUACCGCAUACGCCCUGAGGGGGAAAGCGGGGGAUCGAAAGACCUCGCGCGAUUAGAGCGGCCGAUGCCUGAUUAGCUUGUUGGUGGGGUAAACGCCCACAAAGGCGACGAUAAGUAGCUGGUCUGAGAGGACGAUCAGCCACACUGGGACUGAGACACGGCCCAGACUCCUACGGGAGGCAGCAGUGGGGAAUUUUGGACAAUGGGGGCAACCCUGAUCCAGCAAUGCCGCGUGAGUGAAGAAGGCCUUCGGGUUGUAAAGCUCUUUUGUCAGGGAAGAAACACCGGCUCUAACACAGUCCGGGAAUGACGGUACCUGAAGAAUAAGCACCGGCUAACUACGUGCCAGCAGCCGCGGUAA